GAGACUAAUACCGGAUAAUAUUUUGAACCGCAUGGUUCAAAAGUGAAAGACGGUCUUGCUGUCACUUAUAGAUGGAUCCGCGCUGCAUUAGCUAGUUGGUAAGGUAACGGCUUACCAAGGCAACGAUGCAUAGCCGACCUGAGAGGGUGACCGGCCACACUGGAACUGAGACACGGUCCAG
rnacentral:rRNA from 1 species